rnacentral:rRNA from 1 species
GAGUGAGCGGCAACNNNNNAAAUUUGAAAGCUAGCCUUCGGGUUCGCAUUGUAAUUUGUAGAGGAUGAUUUGGGGAAGCCGCCUGUCUAAGUUCCUUGGAACAGGACGUCAUAGAGGGUGAGAAUCCCGUAUGUGACAGGAAAUGGCACCCUAUGUAAAUCUCCUUCGACGAGUCGAGUUGUUUGGGAAUGCAGCUCUAAAUGGGAGGUAAAUUUCUUCUAAAGCUAAAUAUUGGCGAGAGACCGAUAGCGCACAAGUAGAGUGAUCGAAAGAUGAAAAGCACUUUGGAAAGAGAGUUAAAAAGCACGUGAAAUUGUUGAAAGGGAAGCGCUUGCAAUCAGACUUGUUUAAACUGUUCGGCCGGUCUUCUGACCGGUUUACUCAGUUUGGACAGGCCAGCAUCAGUUUCGGCGGCCGGAUAAAGGCUCUGGGAAUGUGGCCUCCACUUCGGUGGAGGUGUUAUAGCCCAGGGUGUAAUACGGCCAGCCGGGACUGAGGUCCGCGCUUCNNCUAGGAUGCUGGCGUAAUGGUUGUAAGCGACCCGUCUUGAAACACG